rnacentral:pre_miRNA from 1 species
AACGGGAUGAAUAGAUACAGAAUAGGGGUGAAUAAAUGUUCUAACAUCUAUUAACCCCUUUCCUGUGUCUAUUCACCCCGUU